CGGAGGGUGCAAGCGUUAAAUCGGAAUUACUGGGGCGUAAAAGCGCACGCAGGCGGUUGGAUAAGUUAGAUGUGAAAGCCCCGGGCUCAACCUGGGGAAUUGCAUUUAAAAACUGUCCAGCUAGAGUCUUGUAGAGGGGGGUAGAAUUCCAGGUGUAGCGGUGAAAUGCGUAGAGAUCUGGAGGAAUACCGGUGGCGAAGGCGGCCCCCUGGACAAAGACUGACGCUCAGGUGCGAAAGCGUGGGGAGCAAAACAGGAUU
rnacentral:rRNA from 1 species